GCGUGAGUGCAAUGGCUUACGCGCUUCAUUGUACCGAUGAUUCAUUGCCGUUUGUUGCGGUCUGGUACGGCGGCACGAUUGCGCUGUGCACGUUAGCAGGCGCAGCACUGGGACCGCGCCUAUUGCGCUGGUAAAGGACCUUUGUGCAGGCAGCUUCACGUCAGCGUGAGCCUGUAACCGGCAGACGAUUGGCUCCGAACUCAUUCUUAGAAGCGCACUUCACGCGCUUCCAACAAUGGAGCCGGACAAUGUUAACGAAACACCUUCUCAAGAUCGCACUCUCGUUGCCGCUGGUGG
rnacentral:misc_RNA from 1 species